UUUAAUAAUCUCAAAAUAAUAUUCAUAAAAAUAUAGAUCUAGGUUUGUUGUGGUCGGCGAGCUAGGGUGGGGUUUGUCGAUGGGGAUGACAUGCUUGGCGUCAGAAUAAAUGACUAAUCAAAGGAAACAAAUAAGAAAUAAUUGCAAAUCAUUAUUUAAUUACUAGUUACAAAUAUAGUUUUGUGGCUCCACUCCCUAAAUUAAGGAUUGAUUUGAAGAGUGUUGUCAUCUACUAAAAGCCUUAUCAUUGUAUGUUUAAUCAUCAAAUGAGCUUGUAACUUUCUCAUGUAUAAAUAGGUGUUGUGUACCUUUGUUUAAUGAUAAAACCGUUUGAAGCUAAUAAAAAUUUACAAAGUCUUCUCCUUUAUUUUAUCUUGGUAUCAGACGCCAUUCGUGACUAAUAUCCAUGGAGUCUCAAAAUGAUUCUAAAGAGCAGUCGUCCACCACCACACAUCCUUCUCACCUAGUUGUACUAUCCAUCCCACCUAUUGAUCCUAUGUCCACCGCUCAUCCAGCUCUUGUUCCACAGGCUACAUUUGCCCAUGUUCUUUCUCAUCCUAUCACUCUAUACUCUUUCUCUAUUUCAAACUCUUGCUCCUCUUACUCUCAAACUUGACAUAGGUAAGUACUCUUUAUGGGAAUCUUAAGUUAUUCCAGCAGUUAAAGCUCACGAUUACAUUUUUGACAACACUUAACUUUGUCCACCGCAGUUUGUUGACAACACUAUUGCAAGUCAUAUUACUAGUGAACCCCCUCCAGUUAUCAUUUUUUUUAGCUUGUUGAUAUGCACACAUCAAGCUAUCAUCAGUUGGCUCAUGAAGUCCAUAUCUGAGACUAUUUUUGGUCAUAUUGUUCGAUGAACUAGUUCUUAUAAAGUCUAGCAUACUUUUGAGCUUCUAUCAAAUACACAACACUACAAAACACUUGAUUUUUAGUCACAACCUUUUGGUGACAACAAAAAUAAUUAGUGACUAAAUAUAUUUUGUAGUCAUGAUCUGUGACGAAUAAUAUUUUAGUCACAAUAAACUUGUUGUCACAAACACUAAAUUUUUUAAAUUUAUAAUUUUUAGAAGGCCACAACUAAAUGUUGUGACUGAAGUACAUUUAGUUACAACCACUAAAAUUUUAUGACUAAUAUUUGUGACUAAUUGAUAUUUAGUUACUAUCCUAAUAUGUUAUGACUAAUAAUUUUGUUUUAGUCACAGCUAUAUCUUCCUUUGUGACUAAUUUUUAAAAAUAAAAUAAAAGAUAUAUUUCUAAAUAAAACAGUAAAUGAAAUACAAGCCUCUUUCGUCUCUCUCGCUCUCUCUCUCUCUUGCAUCUUCGAAUCGGAUCUCUACCGGCGGCGAUGUACACCUGGUCGCUUGCUGAAUAUCGUUGCCGGAAUCGGAUCGGAUCUACUCCGGCGAUCAAAUUUCAAGGGCUCAAUCAUCUCUUCUUUCUUAGUUGCAGCAGAGUUUCCUCUUUUUUGUUUUACCUCUUCUGUCAACUCUAGCACAAGGACAUCGUACAAGGAUCUGAAGAUAUCAAUUUUGCCUAUUUUAGCCACAUCUAAAAGGUUUGAAAGAUUUGGUGUUGGACGUAUGUGAUCCUUGUUUCAAGCAGCAAAGGAAAAGGUCUGUUUAUUACACAACAUUAGUAUGUUGUAUUUGGUUUAUGGGUUUUGAGUUUUGGUGUGUGAAGUUACAAACUUUAGUCAUUUCCAUUAUUAUGCCGUAUUUUAAAUGAGUUUCUAAUUUGGUUUA